rnacentral:rRNA from 1 species
GAGCACGUAGGUGGGUUUGUAAGUCAGAUGUGAAAGCCUUCGGUUCAACGGAAGAAUCGCAUCUGAAACUGCGAGUCUUGAGUGUAGGAGGGGAGAAUGGAACUUCUGGUGGAGCGGUGAAAUGCGUAGAUAUCAGAAGGAACGCCGGCGGCGAAAGCGAUUCUCUGGCCUAUUACUGACACUCAGUGUGCGAAAGCUAGGGGAGCAAACGGGAUUAGAUACCCCGGUAGUCCUAGCCGUAAACGAUGGGCACUAAGUAGAGGGGUUUU